UCCUGCCUACGGGAGGCAGCAGUGAGGAAUAUUGGUCAAUGGGCGGGAGCCUGAACCAGCCAAGCCGCGUGAAGGAAGAAGGCGCCAGGCGUCGUAAACUUCUUUUGUCGGGGAACAAAGGGCGUCACGCGUGGCGUUGUGAGUGUACCCGAAGAAAAAGCAUCGGCUAACUCCGUGCCAGCAGCCGCGGUAAUACGGAGGAUGCGAGCGUUAUCCGGAUUUAUUGGGUUUAAAGGGUGCGCAGGCGGAUUUUUAAGUCAGCGGUCAAAUCGUGGGGCUCAACCCCAUCCAGCCGUUGAAACUGG
rnacentral:rRNA from 1 species